rnacentral:sRNA from 1 species
AAAAGAAGCAGCAUAAUGAGAGCAUCUGCGGCGAGAGUAACAGCAAGGGUUGCGGUCCCGUCACUGCAGAGAACUCCUGUAAGAAAUGGCAGCAGAAGGAAAAGGGAAAUGCCUAGUCCUAGUAAUGAGGGCACUUCCAGUUAAAUGACAGGGUGUGACUUCAUACCUGCUGAGGCAGAGAAGCAGAAUUGAAUGACGAGACUCAGUCUUGGUGAGCACGUGAGGAUUCCUGGGGCCACGUUAGUGGCACAGUUCUUUUGGAAGAUACUUCUCUGACCACAAAGCGGAGCUCUCUGUCCUGGCUGCCCUCUCCCUCCUCAUAGUUUUUGUGCUGGUGCAGAGGGGGUGCUCCCCUGUGUCCAAGGCUGCCCUGGCGCUGGGGCUGCUGGGCGUCUACUGCUACCGGGCGGCCAUCGGGAGUGUCCGGUUCCCGUGGCGGCCGGACAGCAAGGACAUUUCCAAGGCAACUCCAACAACAUUGCCACCGUGGACAUCUCCGCAGGCUUCGUGGGCUUAGACACCUACGUGGAAAUCCCAGCCGUGCUCCUGACAGCGUUUGGGACGUACGCAGGGCCUGUGCUGUGGGCCAGCCACUUAGUGCACUUCCUGAGCUCAGAAACACGCAG